ensembl:snRNA U6 U6 spliceosomal RNA
GUGUUUGCUUCAGCAACACAUAUACUAAAAUUGGAGUGAUACAGAGAUUAGCAUCGCUCCUGGGUAAGAGUGACAUGCAAAUUCAUGAAGCAUUCCACAUUCUU